AUCAACUGAUACACAAAACACAACAGAACCUGUGGACACAACUUCCUCAAAUGAACAACAUAACAUUACAGAAAGCAAUGCCUUUUCUACAGAAACCCUCCUUACAACUCACACCUCUACAACAGAGACACUUUCAUCUAUUACUCUUCCCCAAACGACGUCCUCCAUCACCACCAUAGUACCUGAAACAAUCGACAUUUCUACUAACACUCCAACCACUACACCUCGUCCCUUUACCAUUCUAACUACUGAGACUGCAUCUAUUACUACAGCAAAACUAAUAACCAUCUAUACAACGUCAACUACUACUAGUGUUACAACCAGUCCCACAACUGUUCUUCCAACUUCAACCUCAACCACAACCGUCCAACCAGCAACUAUUACUAAAACAAAUGCAACCUCUCCAGGAACAAACUCUACAUCUACCACAGCUGGAGAAUCUACAGCAGGAAAGUAUGUCUUCAGAGUGGGUUUGAAGGGCUCUACACCUGCGGAUUCUGCAAAGACACCCCUUGUACAGAAGAUCUGCGCUCUGCUAAGCUCUGAAUUUAACGUCACAGGUCUCCGAGUAUCAAUAGCAGGGAACAGCGACAUCACAAGUAUAUGUACAUGAAUAUGGGAAGAGCGCCAUCACUAUUUGGACACAAAACCUGCGGCCUCCAUCAGUGCCGAGGAGGAGGAGGAGGAGG